rnacentral:rRNA from 1 species
GACGAACGCUGGCGGCGUGCUUAACACAUGCAAGUCGAGCGGAAAGGCCACUUCGGUGGUACUCGAGCGGCGAACGGGUGAGUAACACGUGAGUAAUCUGCCCCUGGCUUUGGGAUAGCCACCGGAAACGGUGAUUAAUACCGGAUACGACCACUUCUCGCAUGGGAUGGUGGUGGAAAGUUUUUUCGGCCAGGGAUGUGCUCGCGGCCUAUCAGCUUGAUGGUGAGGUAAUGGCUCACCAUGGCUUCGACGGGUAGCCUGCCUGAGGGGGUGAACGGUCACACUGGGACUGAGACACGGCCCAGACUCCUACGGUAGGCAGCAGUGGGGAAUAUUGGACAAUGGGCGGAAGCCUGAUCCAGCAACGCCGCGUGAGGGAUGACGGCCUUCGGGUUGUAAACCUCUUUCAGCAGGGACGAAGCGCAAGUGACGGUACCUGCAGAAGAAGCACCGGCCAACUACGUGCCAGCCGCCGCAGUAA